rnacentral:rRNA from 1 species
GGGUUGUGAGGUUAAGCGACUAAGCGUACACGGUGGAUGCCCUGGCAGUCAGAGGCGAUGAAGGGCGUGCUAAUCUGCGAUAAGCGCCGGUAAGGUGAUAUGAACCGUUAUAACCGGCGAUACCCGAAUGGGGAAACCCAGUGUGAUUCGUCACACUAUCAUUAACUGAAUCCAUAGGUUAAUGAGGCGAACCGGGGGAACUGAAACAUCUAAGUACCCCGAGGAAAAGAAAUCAACCGAGAUUCCCCCAGUAGCGGCGAGCGAACGGGGAGGAGCCCAGAGCCUGAAUCAGCAUGUGUGUUAGUGGAAGCGUCUGGAAAGGCGCGCGAUACAGGGUGACAGCCCCGUACACAAAAGCGCAUGUGCUGUGAGCUCGAUGAGUAGGGCGGGACACGUGGUAUCCUGUCUGAAUAUGGGGGGACCAUCCUCCAAGGCUAAAUACUCCUGACUGACCGAUAGUGAACCAGUACCGUGAGGGAAAGGCGAAAAGAACCCCGGCGAGGGGAGUGAAAAAGAACCUGAAACCGUGUACGUACAAGCAGUGGGAGCACAGGUUUACCUGUGUGACUGCGUACCUUUUGUAUAAUGGGUCAGCGACUUAUAUUCUGUAGCAAGGUUAACCGAAUAGGGGAGCCGGAGGGAAACCGAGUCUUAACCGGGCGUUAAGUUGCAGGGUAUAGACCCGAAACCCGGUGAUCUAGCCAUGGGCAGGUUGAAGGUUGGGUAACACUAACUGGAGGACCGAACCGACUAAUGUUGAAAAAUUAGCGGAUGACCUGUGGCUGGGGGUGAAAGGCCAAUCAAACCGGGAGAUAGCUGGUUCUCCCCGAAAGCUAUUUAGGUAGCGCCUCGUGAAUUCAUCUCCGGGGGUAGAGCACUGUUUCGGCUAGGGGGCCAUCCCGGCUUACCAACCCGAUGCAAACUGCGAAUACCGGAGAAUGUUAUCACGGGAGACACACGGCGGGUGCUAACGUCCGUCGUGAAGAGGGAAACAACCCAGACCGCCAGCUAAGGUCCCAAAGUCAUGGUUAAGUGGGAAACGAUGUGGGAAGGCCCAGACAGCCAGGAUGUUGGCUUAGAAGCAGCCAUCAUUUAAAGAAAGCGUAAUAGCUCACUGGUCGAGUCGGCCUGCGCGGAAGAUGUAACGGGGCUAAACCAUGCACCGAAGCUGCGGCAGCGAACGUAUCACUUAAAGCGAUUCAGCGGGUUACGAUUGACGGAGCGAAGCGACGUCAAAGCGUAUACAAAGUCGAGUCGGUUUAAGGAUACGUUCGUUGGGUAGGGGAGCGUUCUGUAAGCCUGUGAAGGUGUGUCGUGAGGCAUGCUGGAGGUAUCAGAAGUGCGAAUGCUGACAUAAGUAACGAUAAAGCGGGUGAAAAGCCCGCUCGCCGGAAGACCAAGGGUUCCUGUCCAACGUUAAUCGGGGCAGGGUGAGUCGACCCCUAAGGCGAGGCCGAAAGGCGUAGUCGAUGGGAAACGGGUUAAUAUUCCCGUACUUGGUGUUACUGCGAAGGGGGGACGGAGAAGGCUAUGUUGGCCGGGCGACGGUUGUCCCGGUUUAAGCGUGUAGGUGUGUGUUCCAGGUAAAUCCGGUUCACUUUAACACUGAGGCGUGACGACGAGGCACUACGGUGCUGAAGCAACAAAUGCCCUGCUUCCAGGAAAAGCCUCUAAGCAUCAGGUAACAUCAAAUCGUACCCCAAACCGACACAGGUGGUCAGGUAGAGAAUACCAAGGCGCUUGAGAGAACUCGGGUGAAGGAACUAGGCAAAAUGGUGCCGUAACUUCGGGAGAAGGCACGCUGACACGUAGGUGAAGUGAUUUACUCAUGGAGCUGAAGUCAGUCGAAGAUACCAGCUGGCUGCAACUGUUUAUUAAAAACACAGCACUGUGCAAACACGAAAGUGGACGUAUACGGUGUGACGCCUGCCCGGUGCCGGAAGGUUAAUUGAUGGGGUCAGCGCAAGCGAAGCUCCUGAUCGAAGCCCCGGUAAACGGCGGCCGUAACUAUAACGGUCCUAAGGUAGCGAAAUUCCUUGUCGGGUAAGUUCCGACCUGCACGAAUGGCGUAAUGAUGGCCAGGCUGUCUCCACCCGAGACUCAGUGAAAUUGAACUCGCUGUGAAGAUGCAGUGUACCCGCGGCAAGACGGAAAGACCCCGUGAACCUUUACUAUAGCUUGACACUGAACAUUGAGCCUUGAUGUGUAGGAUAGGUGGGAGGCUUUGAAGUGUGGACGCCAGUCUGCAUGGAGCCGACCUUGAAAUACCACCCUUUAAUGUUUGAUGUUCUAACGUGGACCCGUGAUCCGGGUUGCGGACAGUGUCUGGUGGGUAGUUUGACUGGGGCGGUCUCCUCCUAAAGAGUAACGGAGGAGCACGAAGGUUGGCUAAUCCUGGUCGGACAUCAGGAGGUUAGUGCAAUGGCAUAAGCCAGCUUGACUGCGAGCGUGACGGCGCGAGCAGGUGCGAAAGCAGGUCAUAGUGAUCCGGUGGUUCUGAAUGGAAGGGCCAUCGCUCAACGGAUAAAAGGUACUCCGGGGAUAACAGGCUGAUACCGCCCAAGAGUUCAUAUCGACGGCGGUGUUUGGCACCUCGAUGUCGGCUCAUCACAUCCUGGGGCUGAAGUAGGUCCCAAGGGUAUGGCUGUUCGCCAUUUAAAGUGGUACGCGAGCUGGGUUUAGAACGUCGUGAGACAGUUCGGUCCCUAUCUGCCGUGGGCGCUGGAGAACUGAGGGGGGCUGCUCCUAGUACGAGAGGACCGGAGUGGACGCAUCACUGGUGUUCGGGUUGUCAUGCCAAUGGCACUGCCCGGUAGCUAAAUGCGGAAGAGAUAAGUGCUGAAAGCAUCUAAGCACGAAACUUGCCCCGAGAUGAGUUCUCCCUGAGACUUAGAGUCUCCUGAAGGAACGUUGAAGACGACGACGUUGAUAGGCCGGGUGUGUAAGCGCAGCGAUGCGUUGAGCUAACCGGUACUAAUGAACCGUGAGGCUUAACCUUACAACGCCGAAG